GUUAAACCUGUCUCUAAGACACAGUGGAGAUGGAUUUCUCACUUCUGUUUUUGGUGACCUUCUUUAUGUUGUUUGAAGGGUCCUGUGGAGAUAUCAUCAUGACUCAGUCUCCCUCAAGUCUCUCUGCACGGUCAGGAGAAACCGUCAGCAUGAACUGUAAAGCCAGCAGCUCCAUUACUGGCAGCUAUAAAUAUCUUUACUGGUAUCAGCAGAGAGCAGGAGAAACUCCAAAACUCCUGAUUUAUUAUGCAAGCACUCUACAGUCUGGGAUCUCAAGUCGCUUCAGUGGCAGUGGCUCAGGACUUGAUUAUACGCUGACCAUCAGUAACGUGCAGCCUGAAGAUGCAGGGCAUUACUACUGUAAGCAGCAUUACAGCAUUCCUCUCACACAGUGACACAGAGCCGUACAAAAACUAACUUCACUUGUCUGUGCAGCUGCUCUUAAUUUUUUUGAUGAUAAGAGAUAAGUCACAGGGUUGGCAUACAUAAGAGAUAGAGAGAGAAAAACAGAACAGUAAGAGAGUCUUCUGAUCACAACAUAUUACAGA